rnacentral:tRNA from 1 species
GCUCCCAUCGUCUAGUGGUUUAGGACGCAGGAUUUUCAAUCCUGUAACACGAGUUCAAAUCUCGUUGGGAGCA